AAAAAAAAAAGAAAAAAAAAAUCCUUGCUGGGAUCUUUUAUUGGUAGUAAUUGCUUAUAAAUUUGGAUGGAUAUGUUAUGAUCUGGGGCUAUUUGUUUGCGGGAAUUUGAAGUCUUAUUGAUUCCUUCCGUAGAUCUAUUCUUUUCCAUGUAUCAUCGUCAUUGUCGUCACUUGGUUUUUAUCUAAUCAUGAAAAAGAAUCUCAGUCUGACUAGGGUCUUGAGUUUCUAAUUUGGUUGAGACUUGCUGUAAUGCAUAUAUAUUUUUUAAAUUUUUCCUUAGUGAUAAAGGGCUCUUAGAGUUGUCGAUUGGGUCAUCCAUUGUUGUUAUUAGUAGUAUCAUAUACUUUUGUUUUGUUAAUUAAUAGUCAUAUUUUUAACCUCUUAAUAUAAUUUCCAUGAGCUUGUAUAGGAUGAGUUUAUCUAACUAUUGGUUCCUGGUGAUUUGGAUUUAGUACGGCAUAUAAUCUGAGUCUAGAGAUUUCCACUUUUAUUUAACAUGUAUUGUUUUAUUCAUGGUUCUAAUAUAGACAAAAGACAAAUCAAAUCUAGUUCAGCGGCUAUUCCGUCACUUCAUGUAAUUUCCAUUUUUGGAGGUAUUUGGAUGCUUUAUUUAUUGGAGUGAUCCCAUUUGUAGUUUGAAAUGUGCUUCCACAAAAUCAAUUGGUCAAUAUAUGGCAUGGAGAGAAUCAUAUUUUUUUGUAUGAUAUUAGUCUCAGUGUUUUCUUUUCUACUUAGAUUAGUAUUGUUGGCUAUUUUUUGUGAGUUGCCAUGCUAUAAAAGAUAAAAGGCUCAUCUCUUUGUUGUUGAAAGUUAAGAAAUCAGGGCAUGUGUGCCUCUGCCUGUAAUCCAAUAUUUUUCAGCAAACUAUAAAGCCAAUUCCACUUUUUAUUUUUGUUCUUUGUCCAUUUUUAUUUGUUGAAAAUGCUUCAGAUUUAUCUUGAAUAAAUAUGUUUUUUUUUUGUCUCAUUUGUACAUAACUUUGUUUUAUAUCUUCUUUUUUUCUUGUUAGAUUAUUUGCGGUUGUAGACGACAUUUUCUGCUUAUUCCAAGGGCACAUUGACAAUGUUGCGGUUCUUAAGCAGCAAUAUGGCUUAAAUAAAACAGCAAAUGAGGUGAUCAUUGUUAUUGAAGCUUACAGAACCCUCCGAGAUCGAGGACCUUAUCCUGCUGAUCAGGUUGUCCGAGAUAUACAAGGGAAAUAUGCUUUUAUUCUAUAUGAUAGCACUUCAAAUGCCACAUUUAUAGCUGCUGAUGCUGAUGGAAGCGUACCCUUUUUCUGGGGAGCUGAUUCUGAAGAAAAUCUUGUACUUUCAGAUGAUGUUCAGAUUUUGCAGCAGGCCUGUGGGAAAUCAUUUGCUCCAUUUCCUAAAGGUGACUUUUUUUUUUGUUACAUUGGAAAAGCAAAGGUGACAUUUUUUUUCUAAUCAUUGUUGGACCAAUUGCCUUGUGUGUGAUUUAUAGAAAUCUCUUUCUUGGUACCCGUUUUGAAACCUAUGCGAGUGUAGCCAAGAAAAUACAAAAUAAAGACCGAAGGAGACACAUGGGUAAGGGUUGCAAUCUACUUCAAGUUGGUGAGGGAUAAGUGAAAAUUGAAAACCCAGAAAUGGGGUUUAUUUACAUGCACUAAAAUUUUCAACACAAUAUAUGUAAUGUGUAUCCUUUUAUACAUAUUCAUUUUGCAUGUAAGAUUUUGGGUUGAAAGUUAGGUCUUGUUCGUAUUGGAUUAUCUCAUGACAAUCCCUUUUUUAUCUGUUGUCUAGUGUAUUUACCUUUCCGUGCUAUAAUCCCAUGAACUUUUAGAUGGUUAUUUAAGCUGCAAAGAAGGAAUUCGCAAGUGCAGGAUAGAUGAUGAUCUGUAAAUAUUAGAUUGCUCAAUCUAUCCGUUUCUGUUGUUACCUUAGGAUGCUUCUGUACAACUACUGGAGGCUUGAGGAGCUUUGAGCACCCUCUGAAUGAGUUGAAGCCAGUUCCAAGAGUGGACAGUUCAGGUCAGAUUUGUGGUGCAACUUUCAAGGUGGAUGCAGAGACUAAGAAAGAAGGUGGCAUGCCCAGAGUUGGGAGUGCUUAUGACUGGUCCUCAAGCUACUAGAGGAGCUUUAAAGUUUUCUGAACGGGGCUCUGGUUAUUAACGGGCCUUCUUUUGGUUUUGCAAUAUCUUUUUCUGAUCUUAUAUUCUGAUCUUUGAUGAUUUUGCUGCAAAAGUAUACCACCUUAUAUUGUUGCUACUUGUUAGCAUUUCCCAAAAACAAGAUAGCAAUUUACAGUUCUGUAAAUGUUGCUUACUGUCCAGCUAAGUCCAAACUUGUAUGGGGCAUAACAUAAAAUAAGAUUUACCGUGCAUAUAGUUUCUGAUACAUGGUUGUGUUUGCAUUUAAUUUGUUGUUUUUUAUUUUAGCUCUUAUUUUGGCAUGUUGGAGAG
rnacentral:misc_RNA from 1 species